UCGAACAGGCGCGCAUGCAUUCACUAAGGCACUAAGAACCACUGCACCACUUUUGUUUGUUGUGAUAAAAUAUUGAUUCAUAUUGAUUAUAUAUUAAUUCAAAAUACCAUAUUGAUUUUCCAUUCACAUUUGAACUUGUAUUGUCUUUUUUUUUUUUUGCAUAAUUUGUAUUUUCGUCAUUUUUUUUGAAUAACUUGUAUUUUGUCGUUCUUAAAAAUAAAAAAAA
rnacentral:lncRNA from 1 species